rnacentral:tRNA from 1 species
GCGGGCGUAGUAUAGUGGUAAUACGCGUGCUUGCCAAGUACGAGCUGGCGGUUCGAUUCCGCUCGCCCGCU